CCCUUAGAUGUUCUGGGCCGCACGCGCGCUACACUGACGAUGGCAACGAGUUUUUCCUUCGCCGAAAGGUGUGGGUAAUCUUUUGAAACAUCGUCGUGCUGGGGAUAGAUCAUUGCAAUUUUUGAUCUUGAACGAGGAAUUCCUAGUAAGCGCGAGUCAUCUGCUCGCGUUGAUUACGUCCCUGCCCUUUGUACACACCGCCCGUCGCUACUACCGAUUGAAUGGUUUAGUGAGGACUCCUGAUUGGCGCCGCCGCCCCGGCAACGGAGCAGCGGACUGCCGAAAAGUUGUUCAAACUUGAUCAUUUAGAGGAAGUAAAAGUCGUAACA
rnacentral:rRNA from 1 species